rnacentral:lncRNA from 1 species
UUUUGCUAUCCAAUCAACAGAAUCACUUCUCACUUCCUACAGGUUUCCGGGCCACCAACUGACACAGGUGUCACAUUUGAGCUUACUGUUUGCUGUUGGCUUUCCCUGCUCACAGUAAACAAAGGCAUUGCUGGAGAAAACCCAGCUCCCUAAGAGGGGCCUCUAAGCUGCACCUUUUCACUCAAUUGUCACUAUGAGCACAUUUAUGGUAGUUUGAACAUACUGAGUUUUAGUUCAUCACAAAUGGUUUAUGCUUUCCGUCAGCAGCGACCUACAGAUUUUGGAGUAGAAUUCAGAGCCAGAUUAAUGAGAAAGCAAGCUGGGCACCCACGUAGGCUGCAGUUCCAAAAGGAGAAGGGAAACAGCAUUGGAAUAAAUUGGCAAGAUGCAAAUGGGUUUCACUGUUCCCAGCAUCACCUGUCUAUGCGGAGCACUUGGGUGAAUCACACUUCAACUUGCCGCAAGCUCAGUCCACAGAUCAAUAAUGCAUGUUGUUUUGCUUCCCAAGAUCGAGUGACUUCAUUUAAUCAUCUAAAUUUUAAAGCCCCAGUUUGCUUUCCAAGAUAAUCUCUCAUCUAGAAAACGGCAAAAAGGAAAUUGAGAGAGCAAAGUCCCCAGAUCAUUUGCUCACUGACCAAAAAGAUUCUGUUUGAAACUGCGCCUAUCACUAAGGAACAGUGUUUGGAAAAAUCAUGUUUCAGAAGAUGAUGGGAGAUGAAAAGCAGACAUUGAUGAAAAUUACAGAAGGAGGCUGAAGAGACAGCUCAGUGGUUAAGAACACGUGCUGCUUUUACAAAGGACCUAGGUUCAGUUCCCGGCAUCCACAUGACAGCUCACAACCACCCAUAACUCCAGUCUGAGAGUACUCAAGGACUAAUUCUGCCCUCUGUGGGUGCCAGGCACUCACAAAGUUUGCUCAUAUGCUUGUAAGUAAUCAUUCAGAUACCUGAAAUAAAAAAUAAACAAAUAAAUC